rnacentral:rRNA from 1 species
CAGUAGCCGCGGUAAUACAGAGGGUGCAAGCGUUAAUCGGAAUUACUGGGCGUAAAGCGCGCGUAGGUGGUUUGUUAAGUUGGAUGUGAAAGCCCCGGGCUCAACCUGGGAACUGCAUCCAAAACUGGCAAGCUAGAGUACGGUAGAGGGUGGUGGAAUUUCCUGUGUAGCGGUGAAAUGCGUAGAUAUGGGAAGGAACACCAGUGGCGAAGGCGACCACCUGGACUGAUACUGACACUGAGGUGCGAAAGCGUGGGGAGCAAACAGGAUUAGAUACCCCUGUAGUCCCUGUCUCUUAUAC